rnacentral:rRNA from 1 species
AACAGUUCGAAAGGACUGCUAAUGCCGCAUGUGGUCAUGAUAGUUGGAGAGUUAUGACUAAAGGAGAGAUCCACUUUGGGAGGGACCUGCGUCCCAUCAGCUAGUUGGUAGGGUAAAGGCCUACCAAGGCGAAGACGGGUAGGGGGCCUGAGAGGGUGACCCCCCACACUGGCACUGAAACACGGGCCAGACACCUACGGGUGGCAGCAGUAGGGAAUAUUGCACAAUGGGCGAAAGCCUGAUGCAGCAACGCCGCGUGCGCGAAGAAGGCCUUCGGGUCGUAAAGCGCUUUUCGGGGAGAUGAGGAAGGACAGUAUCCCCGGAAUAAGGCUCGGCUAACUACGUGCCAGCAGCCGCGGUAACACGUAGGAGCCAAGCGUUAUCCGAAUUCACUGGGCGUAAAGCGCGUGCAGGCGGUGCGAUAAGUUGGAUGUGAAAGCUCCUGGCUCAACUGGGAGAGGCCGUUCAAUACUGUUGCACUAGAGGACGGCAGAGGGAGGUGGAAUUCCCGGUGUAGUGGUGAAAUGCGUAGAUAUCGGGAGGAACACCAGUGGCGAAGGCGGCCUUCUGGGCCGUACCUGACGCUCAGACGCGAAAGCUAGGGGAGCGAACGGGAUUAGAAACCCCGGUAGUCCUAGCCGUAAACGAUG